rnacentral:rRNA from 1 species
UAAGGAAUAUUGGUCAAUGGACGCAAGUCUGAACCAGCCAUGCCGCGUGAAGGAUGAAGGUCCUCUGGAUUGUAAACUUCUUUUAUCUGGGACGAAAACGGGAUUUUUAUCUCAAUUGACGGUACCAGAGGAAUAAGCACCGGCUAACUCCGUGCCAGCAGCCGCGGUAAUACGGAGGGUGCGAGCGUUAUCCGGAUUUACUGGGUUUAAAGGGUGCGUAGGUGGGCUUAUAAGUCAGUGGUGAAAUCUCCGAGCUUAACUUGGAAACUGCCGUUGAUACUAUAGGUCUUGAAUUAUCUGGAGGUAAGCGGAAUAUGUCAUGGAGCGGUGAAAUGCUUAGAUAUGACAUAGAACACCUAUUGCGAAGGCAGCUUACUACAUAUAAAUUGACGCUGAGGCACGAAAGCGUGGGGAUCAAACA